rnacentral:lncRNA from 1 species
GCCAUCCCAUUUGCAUCUCUGCUGUCUGAUAUCACAGCAUGGAGAACUGAAGAGUCUUUUGUAGCCCCGCAUGGUGGUGAUGCCGCUAACCCAGUCCUCAGAAAACUGAGCUGGAAAAUGGAAAAGCUGAGGCUAGCCUGGGCUACAUAAUGAGACCUUGUCUCAGAAAAACAAGCAAGCAAGCAAACAAACCAAACACAUGCAAACAAGACCCAUUCCGAGGAGACAGCUGAUCUGGAAGGCGCCUGCAGUUAAACCUGAUGACCUGUGUUUGAGCUCCAUCCUUGGUACCAUCUGAUAGGAGAGAAUGCCCGAAAGUUGUCCUCGCUCCUCUUACACACACACACGCACACACACUGCAACACACACACACACACACACACAUGCACACACUGCACCACACACACAGAGAGAAGA